GAGGGCAGAACUCAGCGGCAGAGCACAUGCCUUGCACGCACGAGGUCCUGGGUUCAAUCCCCAGUGCCUCCU
rnacentral:tRNA from 1 species